GAUGAAGAACGUAGCGAAAUGCGAUAAGUAAUGUGAAUUGCAGAAUUCAGUGAAUCAUCGAAUCUUUGAACGCACAUUGCGCCCGCCAGUAUUCUGGCGGGCAUGCCUGUCUGAGCGUCAUUUCAACCCUCAUGCCCCUAGGGCGUGGUGUUGGGGAUCGGCCAAAGCCCGCGAGGGACGGCCGGCCCCUAAAUCUAGUGGCGGACCCGUCGUGGCCUCCUCUGCGAAGUAGUGAUAUUCCGCAUCGGAGAGCGACGAGCCCCUGCCGUUAAACCCCCAACUUUCCAAGGUUGACCUCAGAUCAGAUAGGAAUACCCGCUGAACUUAAGCAUAUCAAUAAGCGGAGGA
rnacentral:misc_RNA from 1 species